GGUGGUUUGUUCUUUCAACUAAAUCCUGUUGUUGCUAGCCGUUUGGGUCUAUACUGCGCUUAUGAACUGCAACACUCCCCGUGAAAGUCUGCAGCUUUACUCAUCAAGCCAAUGAGACUGUGAAUCUGCUAGAAGGAACGGACAACUCCAGCUGCACUGCCUUAGAGAGCUUGUAACACCGCAAAGGUCUGCAGCUUCACUGCUGAGCAUCUGAAAAACCUCUUGCACAUGGACAAACAUUUAUUGGAGGAAUGAAGACAAAGUUGGAGACUGCCUGUAGCUCCAUGACACCUUGUCUGACAAACUAGUCAGCUCUCCUUGGACUUAGCCGUGGGAAGGCUCUCAGAUGGUGGCAAGAAACUCAGGUGAGUUACUUCCCAGGAGUCCUCUGGCCUCUCCUGUAAACAAUCCUAGCAAGAUUACCUCACCCUCUGCUAGCUGUGCUCAGGCCUGGGUGAGUCCUGAGAGCUUGGUCUCAAGCUGAGGCUGACCGUGUGUCCUCAUCGGCAUAGUUCCUAAUGGGCCCUAACAGUCUCUUGCUAUUUCCUCCAAUCCUUGGCCUGCCUUGGACCUGGACUCUGGCUCCUGACCUCAGUGACACAGGAUCUGCCAUCCACUGCGUCUCUCUUCACAUGGCCUGCCUUACCCUGUUGUCUCUCCCCCUUCCCCAAAGUGCAGUUUGCUCUUCUUGGAAGCCACGCUGUAAUCUCUCGUACUUGCAUGUGGGGUUUCCACCAGGAAGGCAAGGUGCUCUAGCAGAAAGGAAAAGGGCUCUGAACUCAAAAGACCGGAUUCAAGUCCUAUUUCAGCAAUUAGCCACGUGUCCUUGGAUAAAUCACCGAGAUACUUAACCUGAAUGAUAAUUCCCUCAUCUGUGGCAGGUAGAAUGAAAUUGCCACUUGAAAAUGGAUGAACUGACUUCUGAACUCAGAGGAUUUCCUGCUGAGUUUGGUAUCAAUCAGUUGACUGGGGCUGGGUUAAUCUUUGGGGAAGUCAGAUUUCUGAACUUGAGGAACUAAGGCUGUAUGUCAAGGAUGCUGGGAUAAUCAGCUUGGAACCAACAUGAUUCCCAACUUAAUUUUAGGGGAAAGUUCAGCCAGCUUCGGAAGCUGGGCUAUUCACCUACCCAACUGCUCCAAGCCCAGACAGGUCUUGAAUCAGACAACUCUCACAGGAGAGUGUAACUGGCAUCUUUUCCCCAUCUCAUCUUGUUGGUUUUGGUAAUGAGAUGAGAUUGGGUAGUUAAAUUUGCCAGGAAUGGAGAAUGGCGUGAUACUCUUAAAUCUCUAUCUUUCAGGAAUACUUAGUUCAUUUUAUCUUAUUUUAUUAUUUAUUUUUUGAGACAGGGUCUUGCUCUGUCAUCCAGGCUGGAGUGCAGUGGCACAAUCAUGACUGACUGCAGCUUC
rnacentral:lncRNA from 1 species